CAUAUCAUGCUUACCAAAAUAAAAUAAUUAUAAACCAUAUAUAUAUCAUUACGUCUUACCAAAUUCAUAUACUAAGCAUACCCCACACCUUUACUAUGACCAAAAUUACUUAAACCUCGGAUCAUUUGCAUUAGAUCAAGCCAUUUUCGCAUGGCUAAAUAUAUAUACAACAACUAAAUUAAAACUAGCCUAUACAUGCCACAUAAACAAAAACUCAAAGCCUUAAUUUACC
rnacentral:lncRNA from 1 species